GCGGGUGUAGCUCAAUGGUAGAGCUCUGGCUUCCCAAGCCAGUGACGUGGGUUCGAUUCCCAUCACCCGCU
rnacentral:tRNA from 2 species